UCAGGUAAAGCUGGGAACUCUGGGGAGACUGCUGGUGAUAAACCGGAGGAAGGCGGGGAUGACGUCAAGUCCUCAUGGCCCUUACAUCCCGGGCUACACACGUGCUACAAUGGCAGGUACAGAGGGCUGCGAAGCCGCGAGGUGGAGCGAAUCCCAGAAAACCUGUCUCAGUCCGGAUUGAAGUCUGCAACUCGACUUCAUGAAGGCGGAAUCGCUAGUAACCGCGAAUCAGCAGGUCGCGGUGAAUACGUUCCCGGGCCUU
rnacentral:rRNA from 1 species